rnacentral:SRP_RNA from 2 species
GCCAGGCAUGGUGGCUCACGCCUGUAAUCCCAGCACUUUGGGAGGCUGAGGCGGGUGGAUCACCUGAGGUCAGGAGUUCGAGACCAGCCUGGCCAACAUGGUGAAACCCCGUCUCUA